rnacentral:rRNA from 1 species
UACGUAGGGGGCGAGCGUUGUCCGGAGUUACUGGGCGUAAAGGGCGUGCAGGCGGUGGUGCGCGUUUUGUGUGACAGCGCAAGGCUUAACUUUGCGAGGAUACGAAAGACGGCAGCACUUGAGAGCGCGAGAGGGACACGGAAUUCCGGGUGGAGUGGUGAAAUGCGUAGAGAUCCGGAGGAACACCGAAGGCGAAGGCAGUGUCCUGGCGCGCAUCUGACGCUGAGGCGCGAAGGCCAGGGGAGCAAACGGG